rnacentral:rRNA from 1 species
CAGCCGCCGCGGGAAUACGUAGGGUGCGAGCGUUAAUCGGAAUUACUGGGCGUAAAGCGUGCGCAGGCGGUUAUGUAAGACAGGUGUGAAAUCCCCGGGCUUAACCUGGGAACUGCGCUUGUGACUGCACAGCUAGAGUAUGGCAGAGGGGGGUGGAAUUCCACGUGUAGCAGUGAAAUGCGUAGAGAUGUGGAGGAACACCGAUGGCGAAGGCAGCCCCUGGGCCAAUACUGACGCUCAUGCACGAAAGCGUGGGGAGCAAACAGGAUUAGAGACCCGCGUAGUCCCUGUCUCUUAUACA